rnacentral:rRNA from 1 species
GAUAGCCUACGGGAGGCAGCAGUGGGGAAUAUUGGGCAAUGGGCGAAAGCCUGACCCAGCAAUGCCGCGUGAAUGAAGAAGGUCUUAGGAUUGUAAAAUUCUGUCCUAUGGGAAGAAACAAAUGACGGUACCAUAGGAGGAAGCCCCGGCUAACUACGUGCCAGCAGCCGCGGUAAUACGUAGGGGGCGAGCGUUGUCCGGAUUUACUGGGUGUAAAGGGAGCGUAGACGGCUGUGCAAGUCUGAAGUGAAAGCCCAGGGCUCAACCCUGGGACUGCUUUGGAAACUGUGGAGCUAGAGUGCUGG